rnacentral:rRNA from 1 species
GAUGAACGCUAGCGGGAGGCUUAACACAUGCAAGUCGAGGGGCAGCAUAGGGUAGCAAUACUCUGAUGGCGACCGGCAAACGGGUGAGUAACGCGUAUGCAACCUACCCUGUACAGGGGGAUAACCCGGAGAAAUUCGGACUAAUAUCCCGUAAUAAUAUCCGGAGGCAUCUUUGGAUAUUUAAAGUUCCGACGGUACGGGAUGGGCAUGCGUAACAUUAGCUGGUUGGUAAGGUAACGGCUUACCAAGGCUAUGAUGUUAGGGGUCCUGAGAGGGUGGUCCCCCACACUGGUACUGAGACACGGACCAGACUCCUACGGGAGGCAGCAGUGAGGAAUAUUGGUCAAUGGGCGCAAGCCUGAACCAGCCAUCCCGCGUGCAGGAAGACGGCCCUAUGGGUUGUAAACUGCUUUUCCAGGGAGAGAAACUUACGCACGUGUUGCGUGACUGACGGUACCCUGGGAAUAAGCAUCGGCUAACUCCGUGC